AACGUAGGUGGCAAGCGUUAUCCGGAUUUACUGGGCGUAAAGCGUGUGCAGGCGGGUGGGCAAGUGGGGUAUGAAAUCGCCAGGCUAAACCUGGCGGGGUUAUGCCAGACUGUCCGUCUGGAGUGCGAGAGAGGGGCGUGGAAUUCCGGGUGUAGUGGUGAAAUGCGCAGAUAUCAGGAGGAACACCAGCGGCGAAGGCGGCGCUCUGGGCCGGUACUGACACUGAGGAGCGAAAGCGUGGGUAGCAAACAGG
rnacentral:rRNA from 1 species